UACGAAGGGUGCAAACGUUGCUCGGAAUCAUUGGGCGUAAAGCGCACGUAGGCGGCGCAGUAAGUCGGACGUGAAAUCCCUCGGCUCAACCGAGGACGUGCAUCCGAAACUACUGUGCUCGAGUAUGGAAGAGGGUCGCGGAAUUCUCGGUGUAGAGGUGGAAUUCGUAGAUAUCAGGAAGAACACCCGUGGCUAAGGCGGUUCUCUAGUACGGUACUGACGCUGAGACGCGAAAGCUAGGGGAGCAAACGGG
rnacentral:rRNA from 1 species